GACGAACGCUGGCGGCGUGCUUAACACAUGCAAGUCGAACGAAGAGCGAUGGAAGCUUGCUUCUAUCAAUCUUAGUGGCGAACGGGUGAGUAACGCGUAAUCAACCUGCCCUUCAGAGGGGGACAACAGUUGGAAACGACUGCUAAUACCGCAUACGAUUUAAUCUCGGCAUCGAGGAUAGAUGAAAGGUGGCCUCUACAUGUAAGCUAUCACUGAAGGAGGGGAUUGCGUCUGAUUAGCUAGUUGGAGGGGUAACGGCCCACCAAGGCGAUGAUCAGUAGCCGAUCUGAGAGGAUGAACGGCCACAUUGGGACUGAGACACGGCCCAGACUCCUACGGGAGGCAGCAGUGGGGAAUCUUCCGCAAUGGACGAAAGUCUGACGGAGCAACGCCGCGUGAGUGAUGACGGCCUUCGGGUUGUAAAGCUCUGUUAAUCGGGACGAAAGGCCUUCUUGCGAAUAGUGAGAAGGAUGACG
rnacentral:rRNA from 1 species